rnacentral:rRNA from 1 species
CCUAACACAUGCAAGUCGAACGGUAACAGGAAACAGCUUGCUGUUUCGCUGACGAGUGGCGGACGGGUGAGUAAUGUCUGGGAAACUGCCUGAUGGAGGGGGAUAACUACUGGAAACGGUAGCUAAUACCGCAUAACGUCGCAAGACCAAAGAGGGGGACCCUCGGGCCUCUUGCCAUCGGAUGUGCCCAGAUGGGAUUAGCUUGUUGGUGGGGUAACGGCUCACCUAGGCGACGAUCCCUAGCUGGUCUGAGAGGAUGACCAGCCACACUGGAACUGAGACACGGUCCAGACUCCUACGGGAGGCAGCAGUGGGGAAUAUUGCACAAUGGGCGCAAGCCUGAUGCAGCCAUGCCGCGUGUAUGAAGAA